GAAACCGUUCAGGGGUAAACCAGAGAAAUCCGAAAGAACGACGGGGGCGAUUCAUUCGUGACGCGGUUGCCGGCCGCGGACCUCUGGGCGACGCGGCGCGCUUCGGCGCGCCAGCGCGCCCGUAGUUCGCGAGCAGGCCCCGCACGCGUGCACUUCGCCCCCGGCAGGACGUCGCGACCCGUUGGGUGUCGGCCUAAGGCCCGCGGUGGAGCACGCGCGCGUCUCGGCGCGCGCGUACCCGCGGUCGCCCGGCCGGCGCGCCCGACGGUUCAAUCGAGGCGCGAGCCCGCCGUUAAGGCGUUCGGCCCGCGGCAAGCACUCCCGCAGCGACGGACGCCGGACCUGGUGCCGGCUUCGCGCUCGGGGGGCUGUUCGCCGCGGACGCUCCGGACAGAGCUCGUUCGCCGGUCCGCGACGCAGGAGCUUCGGAUACUCUCUGGACCCGUCUUGAAACACGGACCAAGGAGUCUAGCACGCGGGCGAGUCACUGGGACCACUCGAAACCCAAAGGCGAAGUUAAUGCGAAGACCCACCUUGCGUGUGGUCGAGGGAGGAUGGGUGCGACCGCGGUCGCGCCCCGCACUCCCGGGGCGUCCCGUGCUCAUCGCGAGCUGGGGCGCACCCAGAGCCUGCGCGCUAGGACCCGAAAGAUGGUGAACUAUGCCUGGUCAGGACGAAGUCAGGGGAAACCCUGAUGGAGGUCCGCAGCGAUUCUGACGUGCAAAUCGAUCGUCGGAGCUGGGUAUAGGGGCGAAAGACUAAUCGAACCAUCUAGUAGCUGGUUCCCUCCGAAGUUUCCCUCAGGAUAGCUGGCGCUCGUGGCCGACGAGUCUCAUCCGGUAAAGCGAAUGAUUAGAGGCAUCGGGGCCGAAACGGCCUCGACCUAUUCUCAAACUUUAAAUGGGUGAGAUCUCCGGCCCGCCCGAAUUUACGGGGCCGCGAGAUCGGAUCAGAGUGCCAAGUGGGCCAUUUUUGGUAAGCAGAACUGGCGCUGUGGGAUGAACCAAACGCCGGGUUAAAGCGCCCAAGUCGACGCUCAUGGGACACCAUGAAAGGCGUUGGUAACUUAGGACAGCAGGGCGGUGGCCAUGGAAGUCGGAAUCCGCCAAGGAGUGUGUAACAACUCACCUGCCGAAGUUACUAGCCCUGAAAAUGGAUGGCGCUGAAGCGUCGCGCUUAUACCCGGCCGUCAGCGGCACGUGCGGUCGCGUCGCAAGGCGCGGCCAUGAAGCCCUGACGAGUAGGAGGGUCGCGGCGGUGAGCGCAGAAGGACCGGCCGCGAGGCCGUCCGGAGCCGCCGUCGGCGCAGAUCUUGGUGGUAGUAGCAAAUACUCCAGCGAGGCCCUGGAGGACUGACGUGGAGAAGGGUUUCGUGUGAACAGCCGUUGCACACGAGUCAGUCGAUCCUAAGCCCUAGGCGAAAGCCGAUGUUGAUGCGGCGCCGUACACUCAGGUACGCGCCCGUCGGGCGAAAGGGAAUCCGGUUCCUAUUCCGGAACCCGGCAGCGGAACCGCAACCAAAUCGGGCCCUCGCAAGAGAGUUCGUCGGGGUAACCCAAAAGGACCCGGAGACGCCGUCGGGAGGUGCGGGAAGAGUUUUCUUUUCUGCAUGAGCGUUCGAGUUCCAUGGAAUCCUCCAGCAGGGAGAUAUGGUUUGGAACGCGAAGAGCACCGCAGUUGCGGCGGUGUCCGCACCUUCCCCUCGGACCUUGAAAAUCCGGGAGAGGGCCACGUGGAGGCGUCGCGCCGGCUCGUACCCAUAUCCGCAGCAGGUCUCCAAGGU
rnacentral:rRNA from 1 species